CGCUGGCGGCACGCCUAACACAUGCAAGUCGAACGAAGUAGCAAUACUUAGUGGCAGACGGGUGAGUAACAUGUAGGUAUCUACCCUUUGGUUCGGAAUAACACGAGGAAACUUGUGCUAAUACCGAAUAAGUCUUUACGGAGAAAGCUUUAUGCGCCAUUGGAUGAGCCUGCACUUGAUUAGUUUGUUGGUGGGGUAAUGGCCUACCAAGACUAUGAUCAAUAGCUGAUUUGAGAGGAUGAUCAGCCACAUUGGGACUGAGACACGGCCCAAACUCCUACGGGAGGCAGCAGUGGGGAAUCUUGCACAAUGGGGGAAACCCUGAUGCAGCGAUGCCGCGUGAGUGAAGAAGGCCUUUGGGUUGUAAAGCUCUUUCGUCGGGGAAGAAAAUGACUGUACCCGAAUAAGAAGGUCCGGCUAACUUCGUGCCAGCAGCCGCGGUAAUACGAAGGGACCUAGCGUAGUUCGGAAUUACUGGGCUUAAAGAGUUCGUAGGUGGUUAAAAAAGUUGGUGGUGAAAUCCCAGAGCUUAACUCUGGAACUGCCAUCAAAACUUUUUAGCUAGAGUAUGAUAGAGGAAAGUAGAAUUUCUAGUGUAGAGGUGAAAUUCGUAGAUAUUAGAAAGAAUACCAAUUGCGAAGGCAGCUUUCUGGAUCAUUACUGACACUGAGGAACGAAAGCAUGGGUAGCGAAGAGGAUUAGAUACCCUCGUAGUCCAUGCCGUAAACGAUGUGUGUUAGACGUUGGAAAUUUAUUUUCAGUGUCGCAGCGAAAGCAGUAAACACACCGCCUGGGGA
rnacentral:rRNA from 1 species